rnacentral:SRP_RNA from 2 species
GAGUUCUGGCAUUUGUGAGUGCUCUAUUUCCACCGGGUACCACACUAAGUUCAGCCUCAAAAUGGUAACCUCUCUGGAGCAGGGGCCUACCAGGUUGCCUAAGGAAGGGUAAAAUGGCCCAGGUCAGCAAUGCAGCAGGUCAAAACCCCAGGCUGGUCGGUGGUAGGACUGUGCCUGUGCAUAGCCACUUUACUCCAGC